AUUGAACGCUGGCGUCAUGCCUUACACAUGCAAGUCGAACGGUAACGCGGGGCAACCUGGCGACGAGUGGCGAACGGGUGAGUAAUGUAUCGGAACGUGCCCAGUUGUGGGGGAUAACUGCUCGAAAGAGCAGCUAAUACCGCAUACGACCUGAGGGUGAAAGCGGGGGAUCGCAAGACCUCGCGCAAUUGGAGCGGCCGAUAUCAGAUUAGGUAGUUGGUGAGGUAAAGGCUCACCAAGCCGACGAUCUGUAGCUGGUCUGAGAGGACGACCAGCCACACUGGGACUGAGACACGGCCCAGACUCCUACGGGAGGCAGCAGUGGGGAAUUUUGGACAAUGGACGCAAGUCUGAUCCAGCCAUGCCGCGUGCGGGAAGAAGGCCUUCGGGUUGUAAACCGCUUUUGUCAGGGAAGAAACGCUCUGGGUUAAUACCUCGGGGUAAUGACGGUACCUGAAGAAUAAGCACCGGCUAACUACGUGCCAGCCGCCGCAGUAAUAC
rnacentral:rRNA from 1 species